UCCUACGGGAGGCAGCAGUGAGGAAUAUUGGUCAAUGGAGGCAACUCUGAACCAGCCAUGCCGCGUGAAGGAUGACGGCCCUAUGGGUUGUAAACUUCUUUUAUAGAGGAAGAAACUUAUCUACGUGUAGAUAACUGACGGUACCCUACGAAUAAGGAUCGGCUAACUCCGUGCCAGCGCCGCGGUAAUACGGAGGAUCCAAGCGUUAUCCGGAUUCAUUGGGUUUAAAGGGUCCGUAGGCGGGUCUUUAAGUCAGUGGUGAAAGCCGACAGCUCAACUGUCGAACUGCCAUUGAUACUGGAGAUCUUGAGUACAAAUGAAGUAGGCGGAAUGAGUCAUGUAGCGGUGAAAUGCAUAGAUAUGACUCAGAACACCGAUUGCGAAGGCAGCUUACUAACAUGUAACUGACGCUGAGGGACGAAAGCGUGGGGAGCGAACAGGAUUAGAUACCCUGGUAGUCCACGCCGUAAACGAUCAUCACUCGCUGUUGGCGAUAUACUGUCAGCGGCCAAGCGAAAGUA
rnacentral:rRNA from 1 species